GACGAACGCUGGCGGCAUGCCUAAUACAUGCAAGUCGAACGAUGAUAUUCUCUGCUUGCAGAGAAUUGAAGAGUAGCGAACGGGUGAGUAACACGUGGGGAACCUGCCCAUGAGAGGGGGAUAACAUUCGGAAACGGAUGCUAAUACCGCAUAAUCCUUUGGACCGCCUGGUCCAGAGACGAAAGACGGCUUUUGCUGUCAGUCAUGGAUGUCCCCGGGCCGUAUUAGCUAGUUGGUGAGGUAAUGGCUCACCAAAGCUGUGAUACGUAGCCGACCUGAGAGGGUGAUCGGCCACACUGGGACUGAGACACGGCCCAGACUCCUACGGGAGGCAGCAGUAGGGAAUCUUCCACAAUGGGCGAAAGCCUGAUGGAGCAAUGCCGCGUGAAUGAAGAAGGUCUUCGGAUCGUAAAGUUCUGUUAUUAGAGAAGAACAAGUCAAGGAGUAACUGUCUUGACUUUGACGGUACCUAACCAGAAAGUAACGGCUAACUACGUG
rnacentral:rRNA from 1 species